AUAACACGCAGUGCCUGCUCAGCACAUUUCAUCACCAUCCAUUCCGUUUGCUGCUGCCUCCUGAGGCAGUUCAGCCGUCUGGGAGAUCUUUCUGCUUUUUCUGCAACUUCUCCUGGUUUCCCUCUGCUUUGGGACGCACCGAGCCCUUUAGGGGCUGCCUUCCGAGCUCGGGGCUGUGCAGCCCGCGCCCAGCUUCGCGCUGAUGGCCGCUCGCGCGCGUGCCUGCGUGGAGCAGAGCACCUGGCGGCCCGCGGUGCACGCGGCGCCCGCCCUCAGCGCUUGUCCCGCCCUGCCCGCCCCCAGCGAGCGCCCUCAUGGGCGGCCGGUCCGAGGCAGCCCCCGCCGGGGCGCUGCCGGGUUCCGUAUCUCCCCGUCUGUGCGUGUUUUCGGUCAAACCUGAGCAGAGAGGUUCCGCACCCCGGCCGCUGGCACGGGCUGAGUAGCGGAGUGCUCUCGCAGGUGCUGCUCGUUUCUCCAAGGCAGAGCGGCUGGAGCCUUCUGGAAGGUGAAGGCAGCGAAUUUCUGUAUGAAUAGUCACCAGUCUUGAAGAGAAAAGAAGAGAAGGCUGGACAUAUGAUCCUUGAAAGCAACUGGAAAGGCAUGGAAGCACCAGCUGUGUGUGAAUGAAUCAGAUUUGGCGUGGCUAACAUCAGAGAUGAAUCGAAGAUGGUUUUGUUAGGAUGAUAAAGACUGAUUAAUUGAAGAUGGCUUAGAGAUCCUCUAAGGAUUUCUCUUAAGACUCUGUCUGGCUUGUAAAAACACCUAUGCUGUUAAAUUAGUAUGUAGCUAUCACUCAGGUAUUUAUUUAUUCACCUUCAAGUUCAAGCCUCCUUAUCAGUUUUCUGCUGGUAUCGUUCUAGAGUGUCCUAACUAAAUCAAACACCCUUCAGCUUCCCUGCUUCAAAAAUGGAGGUGUGAGGCUGUGUGUGAACCUGAGCCCACAAGUAAUUGCUGUGUAAAAUGCAGACUGCAUUGAUUUAAGUAGCUCUUGUCUGCUGCUCUGAUGCAGACUUGGUUUUUAAGAGAAACUUGCAGAUCUUAAGUAUGUGUUAUCUAAACACAGCAAAUAUUUUAUAUAGGAGAAGGAAGAAUCAGUGACCUGAGAGUGACCACGUGAAUUAUGGGCAAGCUAAACUUGGAAUACUGUGACUUGGAUUAGUGGCAUUUGUUCUGAGCUGCAAGAUACAGAUGAGACAUUCCUCUAUCUGUCAUCUGUAAUAAUUGUUUGUAAUGGGAGAAAAGGAAAGCUGAAGGAAGUGACAGGAGUUGUUUGUAUUUUAAUCCAUCCUCUCUUAGAAGAAAUGGGUAAGGAGAGGGUAUUAGUAACUCAGGAGUUGAAGAGCAUUCAAGCUAAAGGAAGCACCCAUAUGGCUAUGUGUGCUGUAAAUCUACAGCAUAAGUAUGUUGUUCAGGUUGUUAGUUCGGUCGGGUGACGACAGAACCAAAGGGAUAGAGAAAGUCAUUCUUUCUUGCAAACAUAAUGCAUGGAAGUGGAGGAAAGAGGAUGUUGUCUUGAGCUGCAGUUACAUCUGGCAAAAAUCACUCAUUUCAUAGUUGUACUUCUUUAA
ensembl:lncRNA